CACAAGUAGUUACAUAUGUUUUUAAAAGUUUUUGUGUACCUGUAGAUCACCAUUUUAUACAUUUUAAUCAAAUGUAUCUCUUAUAUUUCAUCUAGAAUUCACAAACAUAAAUAUUUUUUAGCCUACGGCAAAGUAGCAUAAUUAUGGACGGUACUAAGUCAAAACAUUAUCAGAUUGUUAUAACCCCAAUUAAGAGAAUCGUUGGUAAUUGACUUCCAUCGAAACGUGAAGUUCUUGGUCAUUUUCUUUAUUUUCAUAAUGUCAACAAAAAGGCAUUAUCAGUUAGUGCUUCAAUGUGUGCGACACAGUUGAUAGGAAUACGGUCAAAAUAAAUAUUUUAAUAAAGCAUACUUGCCACAUAGUUACACAAAUACAAAAACUCCAUACUAAAUGGAUAAAUGUAAAUAAAAAUCAAAUAAGGAUUAGUACUACUCAAAAUAAUAAUGAAGCCGCAUUUGUAGUCAUUAAACUGCUUAUUCGAUAUUAGCCACGCUAAUGCAUUAAAUUCCGAUUUAUCAAAAGAAGAGAAGAACUUCUUUGAUGCUCAGCGUAAUAAAAGGAUUAUUCUAGGGCCGUAAUUCCAUCUUUAAAAAAAAUUCCAACCAAAAAUACUCGUUUAAAUAAUGAUCCAAAAUUAUUGAAUCUAAAGAAAUUGAACGUCCCACACGAAAAAAAUUAGAAAGUCUAUCAAGUACUGACGAUAGCUCUCAUAAUACAAGUCACUCAAAAUUUGAAUGCGAUGUUGAAAAAUCAACAAGUGAAGCAUGUUUAAAAAUUAUGACACCACAGCUAACAUCGGCGCUUGAUAGAACUAACGUAUCUAAUUGAAAUGCCACAUAUAUUUUAGCAUCGACUUUAACAAAUUCUGGUAAAGAAAUAAAAGACGUGUCAAUUAGCUAAGACACUAUAAAAAUUUGUGAUAGGAAAAUCAUGUCAGAAGAAAUAUUGAAUUUCUUUAAACCUCAUAGUAUAUUGAGAUGCGAAAUUGUUACUACUAUCUGAUAAAAACAAUUUUGUCGUAAUAGUGAUACAGUAGAUUAACUGUAAUAGUAUCUGGUUGGGUUUCUGCCAUCUCGACUUGGUCCAGGAUGAUUACGAUAUAAAGUUAUCAAAUGGGUUAAAAACUCACGCUCACCUACCGAUUCGUCGCCUAGUGGUAUCGAUAGUUCCGUCGUGAUGCCUGACUGAUAAAUAACAAUUUCGGAAAUGCAAUACACGAUCCUAGACGUUCAAUAUGUUCUGUCAAUUUUGCCCGUCAAUGAGCAUCAAUCAAAAUUUCUAUCAAUCUCUCUCAAUGAUUGAAAAUCCAUAUCAAUAUCCUUCUAAACGAUCAAUGCUCGCUACAAUAUGGUUCCGUCAAUAUUAUUGAUACAAAUAUUGACAAUAUUAUUGAUCGUGUAGGGACUACGUAACAGAUGAAGGUUAAACGGUGCGUGUACUUUGAUAGAGAAUAAAUUAGAUAAGAAAUUACUGAAUUUUGCAUGCAGGAACACAUACGAAAUAAUUAUUAGUUGAGUUUUUGAUAAGAUUCGAUAUGUUUUUGAUAUGGCGUCCUAUUGACCCGAUAUUGUUUUAUUUAAAUGAUUUUCAAGUAAUUGGAUUUAUGUUAAUACAAAUUCAUAUAGUAUUAUGAUUACAGAUCAUGAAUUGUUUAAAAAAAUCAAAUCAAAUGUAUAAAAUAUUAUUAAACUUUGAGAAAAGUAACUAAAAAUUAAUCAUUCACAUGAUGAUUACAAAUAGUUAUGUUUAUUAUGUGUUGGAAAGAAACACUUGGGGAAAACUUGUUUUAAAACUCUUGGAGCUUAUCAUGAAGUUAGAUGGAUGGCUAAAUAAUAUACUGCUUAAAAAAUUAUAUGUUACAAGACCAAUAUUAAAUAACACCUGACGAACUUAAAGUUGUUGUGCAGCUAUUGCUCCUCGAAAUGAUCUAAAUUUAUUAACUCAACUUAAAGAUUUCAGUAUAAUUAAUAAGAUUAUAAGAGACGUAGGUGUAAAAGCUUUUUCUGGUCAUUUAUGGUACCACAGUGAAACGCUUGUUGGUCUAACUUUAUUUGACAACAAUUUAACAAAUACAGAAAAAAAAUGGUAAAAUCCUUAAAUAAUAAAUCUGAAUCUAAUUAUUAAUAUGUAAUAAUAUAAAAAAUGAAUAAAUCUGAUUAUUUAUAUCUGUUUGUUAUUUUAGUGUUCUAAAUAUUUGUAACAAAAUUGUGAAAAAAAAUAUUAUAUAAAAACUAUUAAAUACGAGAAUUAUAUUUUCAGUAUACGGUAAAGUAUAUGACUUAAUAAAACA